AACGAACGCUGGCGGCAGGCUUAACACAUGCAAGUCGAGCGCCCCGCAAGGGGAGCGGCAGACGGGUGAGUAACGCGUGGGGAUCUACCCAUCUCUACGGAAUAACGCAUGGAAACGUGUGCUAAUACCGUAUACGUCCUUCGGGAGAAAGAUUUAUCGGAGAUGGAUGAGCCCGCGUCGGAUUAGCUAGUUGGUGGGGUAAAGGCCUACCAAGGCGACGAUCCAUAGCUGGUCUGAGAGGAUGAUCAGCCACACUGGGACUGGGACACGGCCCAGACUCCUACGGGAGGCAGCAGUGGGGAAUAUUGGACAAUGGGCGCAAGCCUGGUCCAGCCAUGCCGCGUGAGUGAUGAAGGCCCUAGGGUUGUAAAGCUCUUUCACCGGUGAAGAUAAUGACGGUAACCGGAGAAGAAGCCCCGGCUAACUUCGUGCCAGCAGCCGCCGUAACAC
rnacentral:rRNA from 1 species